rnacentral:rRNA from 1 species
UACGAAGGGGGGCUAGCGUUGUUCGGAAUUACUGGGCGUAAAGCGCGCGCAGGCGGUCUUCCAAGUCAGUGGUGAAGCCCGGAGCUCAACUCCGGAACUGCCAUUGAAACUGUAAGACUUGAGGACGAGAGAGGUGAGUGGAAUUCCCAGUGUAGAGGUGAAAUUCGUAGAUAUUGGGAAGAACACCAGUGGCGAAGGCGGCUCACUGGCUCGUAUCUGACGCUCAGGCGCGACAGCGUGGGGAUCGAAACAGG